CGCAUACUAGGGUUUCCAACAUUGAGCGUCUUCUCCAAGCUUCCUCUCUCAAUCUCAAACGUCUGAUAAGGUGAAUGAUUGAUGGCUCAUUCUUUCCUUUUCAAUGUCGCAACAUGUUUCGCUUCGAUUUGUUCAAAUCACAAGUUCUAAUGUGUUGUUUUGCUAUUGAUGAUAUAUUACUGUAAAUGUCUUGCUGAUCAUAUCAGAUCGGGACAAGACAAAGUCCGGAAGCUCUUUGUAUGAUAAUACAGUCCGAUGGUAAAAUUACCAUGGCUGUAGCUACCAGCACUUCAAGAUUCGAUAAUAUAACAAUGGCUCCCACUGACCAAAUUCUUGGAGUUUAUAAAGAAUUCAAAGCUGACACAAGUGAGAUGAAACUGAACCUUGGUGUUGGAGCAUAUCGUACAGAAGAACUUAAACCAUAUGUGCUUAAAGUUGUCAAGAAGGUGAAUUUAGUUUAUCGUCCAUAUUACUAUAAUAUUACUAUAUGUGUAUAUGAGAGCGGCAUAAUAUUGGUGACACAUUUUGUUGCUGAGAAUCUUAUGCUGAAAAGGGGAGAAAACAAGGAGAUUUCUAUGGCAUAGAGGCUUAAUCAUAAUAAUGUCAUUGAGAUACUAGGAUAUUGUGUAGAUGGUGGUUCGAGAUUACUUGCUUACGAGUACGCUUGAAAUGGAAUGUUGUUCAAUGUAAAACCAUCUUUCAUGGUCAAGUAUAUGUGUGUGAAUGGGAACCAUCCUUUGAUGUACGCUCAGAGCCCAACCAAAUUUCAAGCAUCUUAACAUCAUAAUCUUACAUAUAUGUGAUAAGGCUUUAAUCAAGAAAUUGUUUCCUCUUGCAAUGGUUGUUGGAGUUGUUAUUCUAUAUUUUGGGUCAGAAAGAAAAUUUAUUGAUCGGUUUGUUUCAUAGAAUACCAUUAAAUGCAGUCAUAAAACCGAUGUUUUUGGGUUACAAGAUUCGAUAUUCGGGGAGUAAACGCAGUCACACUGAUUUGGGUUGCAUGCGCCUUCAAGAUUAGAAGGUAUCCCCUAAUCGCGACCGGAUUUACCCAAAACCUCACAUUUGAUGAAGACGCUGAGAAAUGUGGGGGCAAAGCGGCCUAAUUGACCCCACGAGGACAAGCCAUUCAUAGGGGUGCACCAAAUAAGGCCAACGUCGCCAUCUCAUAUAUCACAACCUGCGAAUGAAUCGAAAUGGGAACGAGCGAUUCCCGUGAACGUUGGGCCUGUACUGCAUAUCCUCCCUGUGCUGUUUCAUACGACUAUCAACCAGUUUCAAAAAGAUACAAAGAUCCCAACGUGGGUUCCCCUUUGAUUUCCCAGUGAUCAUGGAUCUAAAACGGAACUAAAGGGUCUGGGAUUUUGAGUGUGGUUAAUGUUAGUGGCUGAGUGGCUGAAGCAAGUAGUACAAACUAAAGUCGUUGAUUAGCAAUAUCGAACCUAAUGCUUUAACUCCACCUCUGAGAGGAUUUUAGUGACUUGGCAGUGGAAUAUUGAGUUUGUCCAUCCAAGAAGAAAUAUGGCAUGCUUGGUUGGGUGAGAAAGGGCCAGAUGGUGCCAGAGUUUUAGCAAGAUGCAUUUAACGCCCCAUUAAACAAGAACGCAUGGAGUGGAAUGUCUGGAGUUAGUUUGACUUGAGCAGGGUUGGUUGGUAAGCUGGUGCAAGGGUCCAGCCUUCUUUAGAGUCUUUAAGACUGGAGGGUAUGGAGAGCCUCAUCCCAAGGGGAUGGGCCACCACAUCACCGCCACGUAAGCGGGGCUUGAGGGGGAUGGACCUAGGGGUGGGGGAUGAACCCCUUUAUAUAUAUGUGUGUGUAUGUAUAGUUAUAUGUGAGAGAAGGAGGCACGGCGAGUCCGGCUUGUGGGAGACGGAUGGGACGAGCCGACCCUAUGGGGGGCAGUGUGGGGGACCGGCGCCGGGUCAGGCCGGGCCUAAGCCGGCCCCCAUACCGUUUAGUCUAAGUGACCCACCAUUGCUAUGCAUGCCAUUAUGCACUUCUUUUGGGAUGUGCAUUGCAUCUGGAAGUCUUCUGAGUUCAAUAAUGGAUGACCUUUAGCUUCUUUUGCUAGAAUCCUGAGCCUUGGAAUUGGAGAUAUUAUGGAUGACUUGAUUGAUUUAUAGGCAUCUAUGGUUGGGCAUGAGUAUGGUGUUCUUCGGUGGAGUAAAGCAGGCAGUGAGUUUAACUUAUUCCAGCUACAAAGUUAAUACAUUGAAUAAUUUUCGUCUAUUUUUUUUUUUCAAAAAAAAUGUUGAAGGCACAACUACUAGAAUAACGUUUUCCAACCUGCUUGAUCUGCCAUGCUUCCACUUCUUGCUGCCACAGGACCCAUUUCACUCAGGUGGGUUCAUUCAAGGUAAAUUAGACCAUGCAAACUCCUAAGACAAGGUAUGAGAUCUUAAAUUUCUUUUAUUUAUUACUUUUCUAUUCCGAUAGUAGAUUGUUGGUGGUACAUGAGCUAGACAAAGUCGAAGAUAUUUCGUUCAGUGACGAUUGUUUUUUCAACUGGUCUACAAGGAAUGCCAGGUUAUUGGUUACGAAGCUCCAAAAAGCAAAAUUAUUAGAUUAAUAGGUUAUCCAUUGUUAUUUCGCACAAGAGACACUUAAUUUCAACGUUUAUUUAUGUUUUCAUUAUGAUUAUAUCCAUAGUACGUGGAUUGUCUUAUUUACUUUAUGAACCUUUUGCAUUCGAUAACAAUUUCUUUUAAAGAUU